CGAAGGGGCUAGCGUUGUUCGGAAUUACUGGGCGUAAAGCGCACGUAGGCGGAUUGUUAAGUGAGGGGUGAAAUCCCAGGGCUCAACCCUGGAACUGCCUCUCAUACUGGCAAUCUUGAGUUCGAGAGAGGUGAGUGGAAUUCCGAGUGUAGAGGUGAAAUUCGUAGAUAUUCGGAGGAACACCAGUGGCGAAGGCGGCUCACUGGCUCGAAACUGACGCUGAGGUGCGAAAGCGUGGGGAGCAAACAGGAUU
rnacentral:rRNA from 1 species